rnacentral:lncRNA from 1 species
GAAAUGGAAACAUUAUCCUUUUUUUGGUCAUAGUAGCUGUAUGCAGCCUUUCCAGAUGCCAUCACUUACUGGGUCAGCUUAUUCCAGGGAAGUACUGUCUCCCCCCUUUAUUAAAAUCAUGGCUGAGUCUUUCAUCUCAUGUCAUUACAUCUUACCUCUAAUUCACAUAUAAAAUACACUCUCAGUUCCACUAUGGCUGUCUCCUGAGGCACAAAGUAUCUCUGCCUUGGCAUAUCUUUAUUUAAUCAGGGGUUGAACAUUGUCUGGGAAAGAUGUGAUUUGUUUUCUUUCCAGUUGCCUUGAAUAUUUAAAAGCUGGAUAACUUCAUAGCUGGUUUUGAUAGUUGAUUUUAAAGUGCAUUGAUCUAAGAAAACAUGACAUUAACUAAUGCUAUAUUUUGUUUAGAUACAUACAUCGAGCUUUAUGUUUUCAGUUAAAUAAUUGAAGUGUUUUAAAGUUUGCAGUUACUACAUUGUCAAAAAUAUUUAAGAAGAACAACAAAUUCCACAUGCAGCAAAAGACUAAUAAUUUCAAAUGGGAUGCUUGUUGUUUUUUUUUUUUUUUGUUUGUUUUUCCAGUUUUCUGUCUGAUAAAAAAUAAUAAUAAAAAAAAAAGGUAGAACA